GUUUGAUCAGCUCGGUUGGCUGAGCGAUCGACUCAUAAUCGAUGUGUCACCGGUUCGAGUCGUGUAUCAAACACCA
rnacentral:tRNA from 1 species